UACAGAGGUCCCGAGCGUUGUUCGGAUUCACUGGGCGUAAAGGGUGCGUAGGUGGCAUGUUAAGUUUGAUGUGAAAGCUCAGGGCUUAACCCUGAAAUGGCAUUGAAUACUAGCGUGCUGGAGGUUUGGAGGGGGGACUGGAAUUCUUGGUGUAGCAGUGAAAUGCGUAGAUAUCAAGAGGAACACCGUGGCGAAGGCGAGUCCCUGGACAACACCUGACACUGAGGCACGAAAGCUAGGGGAGCAAACAGG
rnacentral:rRNA from 1 species